rnacentral:rRNA from 1 species
AGAGUUUGAUCCUGGCUCAGGACGAACGCUGGCGGCGUGCUUAACACAUGCAAGUCGAGCGGAAAGGCCCUUCGGGGUACUCGAGCGGCGAACGGGUGAGUAACACGUGAGCAACCUGCCCCUGGCUCUGGGAUAGCCUCCGGAAACGGGGAUUAAUACCGGACAUUCACCUCCUUCCGCAUGGUGGGGGGUGGAAAGUUUUUUCGGCCGGGGAGGGGCUCGCGGCCUAUCAGCUUGUUGGCGGGGUAACGGCCCACCAAGGCGACGACGGGUAGCCGGCCUGAGAGGGCGACCGGCCACACUGGGACUGAGACACGGCCCAGACUCCUACGGGAGGCAGCAGUGGGGAAUAUUGCGCAAUGGGCGGAAGCCUGACGCAGCGACGCCGCGUGGGGGAUGAAGGCCUUCGGGUUGUAAACCCCUUUCACCAGGAGCGAAUCCAGACGGUACCUGGGGAAGAAGCGCCGGCUAACUACGUGCCAGCAGCCGCGGUAAUACGUAGGGCGCGAGCGUUGUCCGGAAUUAUUGGGCGUAAAGAGCUCGUAGGCGGCCUGUCGCGUCCGCUGUGAAAUCCUGGGGCUUAACCCCGGGCCUGCAGUGGAUACGGGCUGGCUAGAGGCAGGCAGGGGAGAACGGAAUUCCCGGUGUAGCGGUGAAAUGCGCAGAUAUCGGGAGGAACACCGGUGGCGAAGGCGGUUCUCUGGGCCUGUUCUGACGCUGAGGAGCGAAAGCGUGGGGAGCGAACAGGAUUAGAUACCCUAGUAGUCC